rnacentral:rRNA from 1 species
UACAGAGGUCUCAAGCGUUGUUCGGAUUCAUUGGGCGUAAAGGGUGCGUAGGUGGCGCCAUAAGUCAGGUGUGAAAUCUCCGGGCUUAACUCGGAACGGCCAAGUGAAACUGUCAAGCUAGAGUGCGGAAGGGGCAAUCGGAAUUCUUGGUGUAGCGGUGAAAUGCGUAGAUAUCAAGAGGAACACCUGAGGUGAAGACGGGUUGCUGGGCCGACACUGACGCUGAUGCGCGAAAGCCAGGGGAGCAAACGGG